GUACGUAUUUAUUUUGAGGUAUUUUCUCUGUUUUUGAUAAUAACACAGUCAAGGAUAUUCAAUAUAAAUUAAUUUGUGUGGUAUCAGUUCAGUGGAAUUUGUGAUAAACUUUGACCUACGCGAAGUACACGUCUUAUACGUUAAGAUUAGUACGGCCACAGAUAACUUAUUAAGUAGUAAGGAGCAGUCUUAGCGGUACACUGUAGGUACGUCUCGUUAUGGAGUUGGAUGCUAUAUUAUUAGGACUUGUUUUGUAUUUCCUUCUGGUUGGAAUACUGAUUGUUAUAAAUGAAGCGUUCUGCAAAACUGCUUGUAUUAACAACGCACGAAGAAUAAAUAACCAGGGUCCACCCGAUGUCGAAAUAAAUGAAAGACGACCGAAGAAAACAAUAACCAAACAACCGAAACAAAACCACUCGAGGGGCGACAUGCCACAGGUGCAUAGAACAAGAUAUUAGUUUCUACUAAGCGUCACGUGAUGCCAUUACUAGUACUUAUAAAAAUGUUCAUAGUAUUUUUCAAAAGAUACAAUAGAGAAUCUAAAUCUAUUUUAAUAAGUGAUAAAUUGUUCGAAAUUCGAAAGCCCAAUACUGGAAGUAAGUUAAAAAUACAAGCAUUGGAAUAAAACGAAAAAUGUUUUUAUCAAAUUGUUUACUUAAUCUUAUUAAAGAAUCUAAUUAAA